GGUAUCCUGUCUGAAUAUGGGGGGACCAUCCUCCAAGGCUAAAUACUCCUGACUGACCGAUAGUGAACCAGUACCGUGAGGGAAAGGCGAAAAGAACCCCGGCGAGGGGAGUGAAAAAGAACCUGAAACCGUGUACGUACAAGCAGUGGGAGCACGCUUAGGCGUGUGACUGCGUACCUUUUGUAUAAUGGGUCAGCGACUUAUAUUCUGUAGCAAGGUUAACCGAAUAGGGGAGCCGAAGGGAAACCGAGUCUUAACUGGGCGUUAAGUUGCAGGGUAUAGACCCGAAACCCGGUGAUCUAGCCAUGGGCAGGUUGAAGGUUGGGUAACACUAACUGGAGGACCGAACCGACUAAUGUUGAAAAAUUAGCGGAUGACUUGUGGCUGGGGGUGAAAGGCCAAUCAAACCGGGAGAUAGCUGGUUCUCCCCGAAAGCUAUUUAGGUAGCGCCUCGUGAAUUCAUCUCCGGGGGUAGAGCACUGUUUCGGCAAGGGGGUCAUCCCGACUUACCAACCCGAUGCAAACUGCGAAUACCGGAGAAUGUUAUCACGGGAGACACACGGCGGGUGCUAACGUCCGUCGUGAAGAGGGAAACAACCCAGACCGCCAGCUAAGGUCCCAAAGUCAUGGUUAAGUGGGAAACGAUGUGGGAAGGCCCAGACAGCCAGGAUGUUGGCUUAGAAGCAGCCAUCAUUUAAAGAAAGCGUAAUAGCUCACUGGUCGAGUCGGCCUGCGCGGAAGAUGUAACGGGGCUAAACCAUG
rnacentral:rRNA from 1 species